CUUUAAAUGAAACGAAACGUUUGAAUUCAAGCAUAACUAAUUCUUUGAAAAAAGUGGAUAUAGCUAUAAGGUUGACGAAAAAUUUAACUUAUUUGUUAGAAGAGCAUAAACAAGAAUUAAUUGAUUUUGAGAAGAAGACUACGACACCAGACGUUGAGACAAAUUUGCAAUUGGAAAAAAGCAACAACUCUUCCAAAUCCUGCAGUAGAUUUCACUUCGAAUCAUCAUCCGGGAUCUUCAACUGCUAACCAAACUAGAGAAACUAUUCUCACUUCGAAUCAUCAUCCAGGACCUUCAACUGCUAGCCAAAAUAGAGAAAUUAUUCUCACUUCGAGUCAUUAUCAUUCAGGACCUUCAACUGCUAACCAAACGCCUUUUUCUAAUCAAGAAAUGAAUUACACUAAAAAUCAAUCAAUCGACCAAGGACUUCCUUCUACAUCAGAAACUUUUUCUGUAAAUCAAGGAUUUUCUAAUUCAUCAUCACCAGAUUCAAAUCAAAUGUCUUCUGCCUUUAAUCGAAUUGCUGAUUACAUGAGCGAUAGCGACUAUGAAAAUCAAGAAUUUGAUCCAAUAAUUGAUCCAGAAAAUCCAAAUUUAACUGAUGGAAAAGAAUCAACUCCAUCGCUUGAUAACGAUGUGGAAAACGAAUUGUUUCAAGCAACAAAAAAUACUCCGGAAUCAAAAGCAACUUAAUUACUGUCAGAAAGUGGAAUUUUCAUUUUAAAGAAGGCAUUAGAUGAUGUACUAAGAAAAGCCACCUCACAGACUACAUUAGCACGCUUGUUAUUGUGUUCCAUUUUUAAAGAAGAGGCAUUAAAAAAUCAUAGUCUUACGGGUAAAGGAAAUACAGAAGAAAGACCAGGUUUACCAGCUGAAGCGAUUAGUUGCAUACUAAAAUAUUCUAGACAGACAGCUAAACUCAAGAAAAAGGACGGUUGGAAGCUACACGAUGACAGGCUAGUUAAAAGUAGCCUUAGAAGCAAAUUAUUUGAAAUUCA